rnacentral:rRNA from 1 species
UAGGGAAUAUUAGAAAUGGACGAAAGUCUGAUCUAGCAACACCGCGUGUGCGAAGAAGGCCUUCGGGUCGUAAAGCACUUUUUGGACGGAAUAGGAAGGAAUGUACUUCCAGAAUAAGUCUCGGCUAACUACGUGCCAGCAGCCGCGGUAACACGUAGGAGGCGAACGUUAUCCGGAUUUACUGGGCGUAAAGCGCGUGUAGGUGGUCCUGUAAGUAGGGCGUGAAAGCUCCUGGCUCAACUGGGAGAGGCCGUUCUAAACUACAGAACUAGAGGAUGGUAGAGGGAGGUGGAAUUCCGGGUGUAGCGGUGGAAUGCGCAGAUAUCCGGAGGGACACCAGUGGCGAAAGCGGCCUCCUGGACCACUCCUGACACUCAGACGCGAAAGCUAGGGUAGCAAACG